GCAGGAGAAGGUGGUGAUUACAGACUUCACUGUACAGUACAUGUCAAGCGUGGACCGGCACAACCCAAUCACCACCGCACGGCUGUGUGCGUUCGGCUCAGGUCCGAGCGUUCACCCGCUCGGCUUGGGAAUCGAUAUUUGGACAGCAGCAGCGAAGUCAACAAACUUUUAUAUGCCACUUCUUUUCUGGUCUCCCCCCCGAGGAAACCACGGAGUGCAGGAAGAGAGCCAGAGCGGCUGAGGAGGCAGGGUGCUGGAGGACCCGGAACAAUGACUUUCCCAUUCCAGGCACAGGCGGAGCAGCCUGCAGCGGAUCAAGAUAUGUUUUAUGUCCCGAGAGAUCUAGAGGACUGAUAGCAUCUUCACUUUUUAAAAGUUGUAUUUUUUGCGUCUUGGUCUUGCGGUGAUUUGAUGUCCUCUUUCUUGGUGGCUGAUUUUAAACUGAUACAAAAUACAUAUUCACUCUUCCACCCCCCCCUUUACCGCUCCAUUAAAAUUCUGUGGUGCAAAUGCCCAGUGAGUCACAGCCACUAGUGUUUGAAGUCUCUGAUGUUUGGGCUCAUUAAAAAUCCUGAAAUGGUGCCAAAGCUGGAACACGAGAUUAACAGGACAAUAAAAGAAUGACGAAAAAAAUUAUGGAUAGCAAGCACUACCCUAACCCUGCCAUUUGCAAUAAACAAAUUAUUUCUGUUCCCCAA